rnacentral:tRNA from 1 species
GCGGAGGUAGCCAAGAGGCCCAAGGCGCCGGUCUUGAAAACCGGUGUGCGUUAGCACGCGAGAGUUCGAAUCUCUCCCUCCGCG